rnacentral:tRNA from 1 species
GCCUAUCUGGCUCAGUCAGUAGAGCAUGGGAUGCUUAAUCUCAGGGUCAUGAGUUCAAGCCUCACUUUGGGCA